rnacentral:rRNA from 1 species
CACGUGGGCAACCUGCCUCAUAGAGGGGAAUAGCCUUCCGAAAGGGAGAUUAAUACCGCAUAAGAUUGUAGUACCGCAUGGUACAGCAAUUAAAGGAGCAAUCCGCUAUGAGAUGGGCCCGCGGCGCAUUAGCUAGUUGGUGAGGUAACGGCUCACCAAGGCGACGAUGCGUAGCCGACCUGAGAGGGUGAUCGGCCACAUUGGGACUGAGACACGGCCCAG